AAGAGAAGCAAAAUAGUGAUAUCAAGCAAAUCUCAAAAAAUCGUUCUCAGUUCGGAUUGUAGUCUGCAACUCGACUACAUGAAGUCGGAAUCGCUAGUAAUCGUAGAUCAGCUACGCUACGGUGAAUACGUUCUCGGGUCUUGUACACACCGCCCGUCACACCAUGGGAGCUGGUAAUGCCCGAAGUCAGUUUGUUAACUUCGGAGACGACUG
rnacentral:rRNA from 1 species